GACGAACGCUGGCGGCGUGCUUAACACAUGCAAGUCGAACGAUGAACUUGGAGCUUGCUCUGGGGGAUUAGUGGCGAACGGGUGAGUAACACGUGAGUAACCUGCCCUGGACUCUGGGAUAAGCGUUGGAAACGACGUCUAAUACCGGAUAGGACCCUGGACCGCAUGGUUUGGGGUGGAAAGUUUUUUCGGUCUGGGAUGGACUCGCGGCCUAUCAGCUUGUUGGUGAGGUAAUGGCUCACCAAGGCGUCGACGGGUAGCCGGCCUGAGAGGGUGACCGGCCACACUGGGACUGAGACACGGCCCAGACUCCUACGGGAGGCAGCAGUGGGGAAUAUUGCACAAUGGGCGAAAGCCUGAUGCAGCAACGCCGCGUGCGGGAUGACGGCCUUCGGGUUGUAAACCGCUUUUAGUAGGGAAGAAGGGCUUCGGCUUGACGGUACCUGCAGAAAAAGGACCGGCUAACUACGUGCCAGCAGCCGCGGUAAUACGUAGGGUCCGAGCGUUGUCCGGAAUUAUUGGGCGUAAAGAGCUCGUAGGCGGUUUGUCGCGUCUGCUGUGAAAACUGGAGGCUCAACCUCCAGCCUGCAGUGGGUACGGGCAGACUAGAGUGCGGUAGGGGAGAAUGGAAUUCCUGGUGUAGCGGUGGAAUGCGCAGAUAUCAGGAGGAACACCGAUGGCGAAGGCAGUUCUCUGGGCCGUAACUGACGCUGAGGAGCGAAAGCGUGGGGAGCGAACAGGAUUAGAUACCCUGGUAGUCCACGCCGUAAACGUUGGGCGCUAGAUGUGGGGACCUUUCCACGGUUUCCGUGUCGUAGCUAACGCAUUAAGCGCCCCGCCUGGGGAGUACGGCCGCAAGGCUAAAACUCAAAGGAAUUGACGGGGGCCCGCACAAGCGGCGGAGCAUGCGGAUUAAUUCGAUGCAACGCGAAGAACCUUACCAAGGCUUGACAUAACCGAGAACGCCCUAGAAAUAGGGAACUCUUUGGACACUCGGUUACAGGUGGUGCAUGGUUGUCGUCAGCUCGUGUCGUGAGAUGUUGGGUUAAGUCCCGCAACGAGCGCAACCCUCGUCGCAUGUUGCCAGCACGUAAUGGUGGGAACUCAUGUGAGACUGCCGGGGUCAACUCGGAGGAAGGUGGGGAUGACGUCAAAUCAUCAUGCCCCUUAUGUCUUGGGCUUCACGCAUGCUACAAUGGCCGGUACAAAGGGCUGCGAUGUCGUAAGGCGGAGCGAAUCCCAAAAAGCCGGUCUCAGUUCGGAUUGAGGUCUGCAACUCGACCUCAUGAAGUCGGAGUCGCUAGUAAUCGCAGAUCAGCAACGCUGCGGUGAAUACGUUCCCGGGCCUUGUACACACCGCCCGUCAAGUCAUGAAAGUCGGUAACACCCGAAGCCGGUGGCCUAACCCUUGUGGAGGGAGCCGUCGAAGGUGGGAUCGGUGAUUAGGACUAAGUCGUAACAAGGUAGCCGUACCGGAAGGUGC
rnacentral:rRNA from 1 species